rnacentral:rRNA from 1 species
GGGUUGUGAGGUUAAGCGACUAAGCGUACACGGUGGAUGCCCUGGCAGUCAGAGGCGAUGAAGGACGUGCUAAUCUGCGAUAAGCGUCGGUAAGGUGAUAUGAACCGUUAUAACCGGCGAUUUCCGAAUGGGGAAACCCAGUGUGAUUCGUCACACUAUCAUUAACUGAAUCCAUAGGUUAAUGAGGCGAACCGGGGGAACUGAAACAUCUAAGUACCCCGAGGAAAAGAAAUCAACCGAGAUUCCCCCAGUAGCGGCGAGCGAACGGGGAGCAGCCCAGAGCCUGAAUCAGUGUGUGUGUUAGUGGAAGCGUCUGGAAAGGCGCGCGAUACAGGGUGACAGCCCCGUACACAAAAAUGCACAUACUGUGAGCUCGAUGAGUAGGGCGGGACACGUGGUAUCCUGUCUGAAUAUGGGGGGACCAUCCUCCAAGGCUAAAUACUCCUGACUGACCGAUAGUGAACCAGUACCGUGAGGGAAAGGCGAAAAGAACCCCGGCGAGGGGAGUGAAAAAGAACCUGAAACCGUGUACGUACAAGCAGUGGGAGCACGCUUAGGCGUGUGACUGCGUACCUUUUGUAUAAUGGGUCAGCGACUUAUAUUCUGUAGCAAGGUUAACCGAAUAGGGGAGCCGAAGGGAAACCGAGUCUUAACUGGGCGUUAAGUUGCAGGGUAUAGACCCGAAACCCGGUGAUCUAGCCAUGGGCAGGUUGAAGGUUGGGUAACACUAACUGGAGGACCGAACCGACUAAUGUUGAAAAAUUAGCGGAUGACUUGUGGCUGGGGGUGAAAGGCCAAUCAAACCGGGAGAUAGCUGGUUCUCCCCGAAAGCUAUUUAGGUAGCGCCUCGUGAAUUCAUCUCCGGGGGUAGAGCACUGUUUCGGCAAGGGGGUCAUCCCGACUUACCAACCCGAUGCAAACUACGAAUACCGGAGAAUGUUAUCACGGGAGACACACGGCGGGUGCUAACGUCCGUCGUGAAGAGGGAAACAACCCAGACCGCCAGCUAAGGUCCCAAAGUCAUGGUUAAGUGGGAAACGAUGUGGGAAGGCCCAGACAGCCAGGAUGUUGGCUUAGAAGCAGCCAUCAUUUAAAGAAAGCGUAAUAGCUCACUGGUCGAGUCGGCCUGCGCGGAAGAUGUAACGGGGCUAAACCAUGCACCGAAGCUGCGGCAGCGACGCUGAUGCGUUGUUGGGUAGGGGAGCGUUCUGUAAGCCUGCGAAGGUGUGCUGUGAGGCAUGCUGGAGGUAUCAGAAGUGCGAAUGCUGACAUAAGUAACGAUAAAGCGGGUGAAAAGCCCGCUCGCCGGAAGACCAAGGGUUCCUGUCCAACGUUAAUCGGGGCAGGGUGAGUCGACCCCUAAGGCGAGGCCGAAAGGCGUAGUCGAUGGGAAACAGGUUAAUAUUCCUGUACUUGGUGUUACUGCGAAGGGGGGACGGAGAAGGCUAUGUUGGCCGGGCGACGGUUGUCCCGGUUUAAGCGUGUAGGCUGGUUUUCCAGGCAAAUCCGGAAAAUCAAGGCUGAGGCGUGAUGACGAGGCACUACGGUGCUGAAGCAACAAAUGCCCUGCUUCCAGGAAAAGCCUCUAAGCAUCAGGUAACAUCAAAUCGUACCCCAAACCGACACAGGUGGUCAGGUAGAGAAUACCAAGGCGCUUGAGAGAACUCGGGUGAAGGAACUAGGCAAAAUGGUGCCGUAACUUCGGGAGAAGGCACGCUGAUAUGUAGGUGAAGUCCCUCGCGGAUGGAGCUGAAAUCAGUCGAAGAUACCAGCUGGCUGCAACUGUUUAUUAAAAACACAGCACUGUGCAAACACGAAAGUGGACGUAUACGGUGUGACGCCUGCCCGGUGCCGGAAGGUUAAUUGAUGGGGUUAGCGCAAGCGAAGCUCUUGAUCGAAGCCCCGGUAAACGGCGGCCGUAACUAUAACGGUCCUAAGGUAGCGAAAUUCCUUGUCGGGUAAGUUCCGACCUGCACGAAUGGCGUAAUGAUGGCCAGGCUGUCUCCACCCGAGACUCAGUGAAAUUGAACUCGCUGUGAAGAUGCAGUGUACCCGCGGCAAGACGGAAAGACCCCGUGAACCUUUACUAUAGCUUGACACUGAACAUUGAGCCUUGAUGUGUAGGAUAGGUGGGAGGCUUUGAAGUGUGGACGCCAGUCUGCAUGGAGCCGACCUUGAAAUACCACCCUUUAAUGUUUGAUGUUCUAACGUUGACCCGUAAUCCGGGUUGCGGACAGUGUCUGGUGGGUAGUUUGACUGGGGCGGUCUCCUCCUAAAGAGUAACGGAGGAGCACGAAGGUUGGCUAAUCCUGGUCGGACAUCAGGAGGUUAGUGCAAUGGCAUAAGCCAGCUUGACUGCGAGCGUGACGGCGCGAGCAGGUGCGAAAGCAGGUCAUAGUGAUCCGGUGGUUCUGAAUGGAAGGGCCAUCGCUCAACGGAUAAAAGGUACUCCGGGGAUAACAGGCUGAUACCGCCCAAGAGUUCAUAUCGACGGCGGUGUUUGGCACCUCGAUGUCGGCUCAUCACAUCCUGGGGCUGAAGUAGGUCCCAAGGGUAUGGCUGUUCGCCAUUUAAAGUGGUACGCGAGCUGGGUUUAGAACGUCGUGAGACAGUUCGGUCCCUAUCUGCCGUGGGCGCUGGAGAACUGAGGGGGGCUGCUCCUAGUACGAGAGGACCGGAGUGGACGCAUCACUGGUGUUCGGGUUGUCAUGCCAAUGGCACUGCCCGGUAGCUAAAUGCGGAAGAGAUAAGUGCUGAAAGCAUCUAAGCACGAAACUUGCCCCGAGAUGAGUUCUCCCUGACUCCUUGAGAGUCCUGAAGGAACGUUGAAGACGACGACGUUGAUAGGCCGGGUGUGUAAGCGCAGCGAUGCGUUGAGCUAACCGGUACUAAUGAACCGUGAGGCUUAACCUUACAACGCCGAAG